rnacentral:tRNA from 1 species
GGUGGCUCAGUGGUAGAGUGCUUGCCUUGCAUGCAUGAGGCCCGGGGUUCGAUUCCUCAGUACCA